rnacentral:rRNA from 1 species
AACGAACGCUGGCGGCAGGCCUAACACAUGCAAGUCGAACGCCCUAGCAAUAGGGAGUGGCAGACGGGUGAGUAACACGUGGGAACCUUCCCUAUAGUACGGAAUAGCCCAGGGAAACUUGGAGUAAUACCGUAUACGCCCGUGAGGGGAAAGAUUUAUCGCUAUAGGAUGGGCCCGCGUAGGAUUAGCUAGUUGGUGAGGUAAUGGCUCACCAAGGCGACGAUCCUUAGCUGGUUUGAGAGAACGACCAGCCACACUGGGACUGAGACACGGCCCAGACUCCUACGGGAGGCAGCAGUGGGGAAUAUUGGACAAUGGGCGCAAGCCUGAUCCAGCCAUGCCGCGUGAGUGAUGAAGGCCUUAGGGUUGUAAAGCUCUUUUAGCAGGGAAGAUAAUGACUGUACCUGCAGAAUAAGCUCCGGCUAACUUCGUGCCAGCCGCCGCCGUAACAC